GGGUUCUGGAGGGCGAGGAGGAGCAGGAUGGAGCCUGUUACCAGAAGUACUUGAAACCUCUUACUGAGACCCUUCAACCUCUCCUCUGAGGAGCUGUCAAGGGGAAGAGGACAGCAUCUGUUUUUAUAACUUCCAAGUGAACAUAGUCCUCUAUUUUACACCUAAUAGUGUCCUGAUGAGUGGCGACCUUCUCAGCGAGGACUGACAACCACACGGGUUCCUACUUCAUGACCAGACCAGGGUCACCAUGGAGACAUUUCUCAUUGGGUCAGCUUAUUAUGCCAUAGGAAACAUCUGAUUGAAAUGGAACUCACUGACCUAAAGCUCCUAAAAGAAAAUUUUCUAGGUCGGUGACAGACAAGUUGGCUGCUUCAGAAAAGGUAUUUACUGUAAUUCUGGAGAUCAUAUUGGGUCGCAAACUUGCUGCCUGUGAGUGCAAUCCAGCCCACAGGUUCAUUCUGUGUGACAGGCACUGUGUUUAAAAGGUAAGAAUUGGAGGGCCUUUAGGUGGGAAGUGCCCUCUCCAGUUUACAGUGAGCCUCAUCGUUUCCUAUUUUCCUAGACUUAGCCGCAUGACACAUUACAUGUCACCUGCCAGGCCUCUAAAAAUGUGAAAAUCAUGACCUUCAGGCAUUCUGUUCAUGGUCCAUCCCUGUGCCCUGUGCCCUAGGUUUGACUUGAGGUUUCUCACCGAUGCCUCCCACAGCUGGGCCUUGUUCCUCACAAAGAGUUUCUGGUGAAACCAGAGUCAUAAAGACUGGAUUAAGAGGAAAGUUCAAGGAAUCCCAGGAUCUAAGAGCUUGCAGGAAAACUUAAGAAUUUGGGAUCCUGCAACCCCUGAUGAGCAACCUGAGACACAGAAAAGGGAAAUGCCUUGGAAAGGUCAGCCCCAGAAGGAAGAGAGCAGAGAGGGAAACCCAGGACUAGUGAUUCCCCAUCCUGUAUGCUGCACCCACCACCCCACGCAGCUGGCCUGAAUGAUUGGUGUAGCCCUUCCCCACAUUCCUAGAGAGUGUGUCUUUUACAAAGCCACCGUCCACACACACAGAGUGGCACCAGCUGUGCAACCAACCCCUCUUACACUAGACCGCUGUGUCUGGUGACUUGAAAGUCAAGGCCAACGUGGUCACACUAUGGCCACUAAGUCUUAAAGAAAAGUACUUCUCUAUCAUUGGCAGAGAACUUUAGGCUGGAGACAGAUUAAAGUUUAAAACAAAUCCAAGGAGUCAACUUUGUAGACAACACAGGUUAUUUAAGCCUCUGUUCCUUCUUUGUUAGAGUACACUGAAACUUUUCUUCAGAGCUGACCCUGGAAGUAGGCAGAAAGGUUGCUGUCUCUUUAAGUUGCCUUAAACUACCUCAGGAGAGCUUCCAUCAGCCAAAAAUCCCCUUGUAGAGCAGCCCUUCCAUUCUCAACCAAGGCAAAAAUACCUGAAAUUCAGUUAAUAGCAAUUCAUUCAUAUGAGCUAAAUGUUGCCCCCUUGAAGCAUUGUGCUUUGUGAAAAAAAAAUUCCUGGAAGGGGAGAGGUCUGGAUUGGUUGGCUCAAUUAGCUUUUCUUGUGAGUGGAAGGUAUUGAGGGCAGGGAGAACCCUGAGAAUUAGUGAGAGGCAGAAGAGCAGAACAAAGAGGUGUUGAGAUAGGGACAUUGGCAAACAAAGAAGCUAGAGGUAAAGGGGUUAAUGAAAGAGAUAUCCAAAGGAAACCACUGGUGUCAUAUAACAGUGGGGGCAUCUACGGGCAGGAGAGCAUGAUCGGGCCACUGAGACUGGUCUACUAGGGGUUGGCUAUAGCCUCCCACCCACUACCCUUGAAAUUCUUAGUCCCCAACUCCCACCAAGAUUUUCAGCAAAUACCUCCAAGGAGCUGAAAGAACACAAGAACCUGAAGUAGUAACUCAGUGGCUGGUCCAUGAGCUUAAUAAGUAUCUGUUGAAUGAACAAAUCGAAUAUUUCCAGUGCAUCCCUCUGAAGCCAUCUUGAUUGUUAAAGCCUUCUUGCUUGGUCUCUAGUGCAUUUGAUCAAGGGUGUGGUGCCUAUGAAAUAGGUUCUAAUUCCAUGAGGUGUGGAGUGGAAUGGACCUGGAAUCCGUACUUUGCAUUUUGUGGGAUUAUCCUUGGUUGAAGUUGUUUCUCACAUCAGUGGAACAGAGGCUUCAUUCAUAAUUCAUGCAUUUGACGUCUCUGGCAAGUAUUGCUUACCAGAUGGGAUUCUCAACAGUAACAGAAACAGAAAGCAGGUUGCUCCAUAGAGUUGGAGUGAAAUCACAGGUGGAGGUAUGGUAUGAACUGAAGUUCUCUAGUUAAGGCAGAGACCUUUGAGAGGUCACUGAGUUGCAACUUCUAUUGGUUCUACAAGGUAAUGAGAGGUGAAGAUGAAGCAAUAAGACAGAAAUGCUACCUCUGGAAGCUGAUGGCCACUGCUGUCUUCUGGGAGGGAAAACAAGGCCUAGAAUGACUAAGAGGCUGCUUAUUGUUACAGGUUAACCCUGGAGUAGAAUAGGCCCAAGCCAAUAUUGC